rnacentral:rRNA from 1 species
GAUGAACGCUGGCGGCGUGCCUAAUACAUGCAAGUCGAGCGAACAGACGAGGAGCUUGCUCCUCUGACGUUAGCGGCGGACGGGUGAGUAACACGUUGAUAACCUACCUAUAAGACUGGGAUAACUUCGGGAAACCGGAGCUAAUACCGGAUAAUAUAUUUAACCGCAUGGUUCAAUAGUGAAAGACGGUUUUGCUGUCACUUAUAGAUGGAUCCGCGCCGCAUUAGCUAGUUGGUAAGGUAACGGCUUACCAAGGCAACGAUGCGUAGCCGACCUGAGAGGGUGAUCGGCCACACUGGAACUGAGACACGGUCCAGACUCCUACGGGAGGCAGCAGUAGGGAAUCUUCCGCAAUGGGCGAAAGCCUGACGGAGCAACGCCGCGUGAGUGAUGAAGGUCUUCGGAUCGUAAAACUCUGUUAUUAGGGAAGAACAAAUGUGUAAGUAACUAUGCACGUCUUGACGGUACCUAAUCAGAAAGCCACGGCUAACUACGUG